GACGAACGCUGGCGGCGUGCUUAGCACAUGCAAGUCGAUCGGAAAGGCCCUGCUUUUGUGGGGUGCUCGAGUGGCGAACGGGUGAGUAACACGUGAGUAACCUGCCCUUGACUUUGGGAUAACUUCAGGAAACUGGGGCUAAUACCGGAUAGGAGCUCCUGCUGCAUGGUGGGGGUUGGAAAGUUUCGGCGGUUGGGGAUGGACUCGCGGCUUAUCAGCUUGUUGGUGGGGUAGUGGCUUACCAAGGCUUUGACGGGUAGCCGGCCUGAGAGGGUGACCGGCCACAUUGGGACUGAGAUACGGCCCAGACUCCUACGGGAGGCAGCAGUGGGGAAUAUUGCACAAUGGGCGGAAGCCUGAUGCAGCAACGCCGCGUGCGGGAUGACGGCCUUCGGGUUGUAAACCGCUUUCGCCUGUGACGAAGCGUGAGUGACGGUAAUGGGUAAAGAAGCACCGGCUAACUACGUG
rnacentral:rRNA from 1 species